rnacentral:rRNA from 1 species
UGUGGGCGGUUGAUUAAAUAAGAUGUGAAAUCCCCGGGCUUAACCUGGGAAUGGCAUCUUUAACUGGUCAGCUAGAGUCUGGUAGAGGGGGGUAGAAUUCCAUGUGUAGCGGUGAAAUGCGUAGAGAUGUGGAGGAAUACCGAUGGCGAAGGCGGCCCCCUGGAAUAAGACUGACGCUCAGAUGCGAAAGCGUGGGGAGCAAACAGGAUUAGAAAC